AUUGAACGCUGGCGGCAGGCCUAACACAUGCAAGUCGAGCGGGGACUUCGGUCCUAGCGGCGAACGGGUGAGGAAUGCUUGGGAAUCUGCCCAGUAGCGGGGGAUAACGUUUCGAAAGGAACGCUAAUACCGCAUACGCCCUACGGGGGAAAGGGGGGGAUCUUCGGACCUCUCACUAUUGGAUGAGCCCAAGUCGGAUUAGCUAGUUGGUGAGGUAAAGGCUCACCAAGGCGACGAUCCGUAGCUGGUCUGAGAGGAUGAUCAGCCACACUGGAACUGAGACCCGGUCCAGACUCCUACGGGAGGCAGCAGUGGGGAAUAUUGGACAAUGGGCGAAAGCCUGAUCCAGCCAUGCCGCGUGUGUGAAGAAGGCCUUCGGGUUGUAAAGCACUUUAAGCGAGGAGGAAUGGCUGAGGGUUAAUAACCUUCAGCAGUGACGUUACUCGCAGAAUAAGCACCGGCUAACUCUGUGCCAGCCGCCGCGGUAACAC
rnacentral:rRNA from 1 species